rnacentral:pre_miRNA from 1 species
ACAACAUUCGGACCAUCGGUCUACCGAGAAAUAUUACUCGCUUGGUGGAAGAUCUUCCUUUCGUUGU